rnacentral:rRNA from 1 species
UACGUAGGGGGCAAGCGUUGUCCGGAAUCAUUGGGCGUAAAGCGCGCGUAGGCGGCCCGGUAAGUCCGCUGUAAAAGUCCAGGGCUCAACCCUGGAAAGCCGGUGGAUACUGUCGGGCUAGAGUCCGGAAGAGGCGAGUGGAAUUCCUGGUGUAGCGGUGGAAUGCGCAGAUAUCAGGAGGAACACCGAUGGCGAAGGCAGCUCGCUGGGACGGUACUGACGCUGAGGCGCGAAAGCGUGGGGAGCGAACAGGAUUAGAUACCCUGGUAGUCCACGCUGUAAACGAUGGGCACUAGGUGUGGGAGGUGUCGACUCCUCCCGUGCCGUCGCUAACGCAUUAAGUGCCCCGCCUGGGGAGUACGGCCGCAAGGCUAAA